rnacentral:tRNA from 1 species
GGCUCCAUAGUGUACGGUUAGCACAUCUGCUUUACAUGCAGAAGGUCUUGGGUUCGUGCCCCAGUGGAGCCA